rnacentral:rRNA from 1 species
CGGAGUCAGAAUGCCGCGGUGAAUACGUUCCCGGGUCUUGUACACACCGCCCGUCACACCAUGGGAGUCGGAAAUGCCCGAAGCCGGUGGCCUAACCGAUAAGGGAGGAGCCGUCGAAGGCAGGUCUGAUGACUGGGGUGAAGUCGUAACAAGGUAUC